GGAGGGGUAGUCAAGCCUGGCCAAAGAAAGCAUCAUGCUUUUGGACACGCGGGACUUAAGAUCAUAAUAAUGGGUGAUCCCGUCUCUCAGGAGUUCGAGGGUUCGAAUCCCUCCCCCUCCA
rnacentral:tRNA from 2 species